UUCUCUUACUUUUUUAAUGCAAUUUUUUGUUACUGACAAUGCCAAUAAAUAGAUACUAAAUCAGCCCAAAAAGAAAGUAUCGAAGAAUUCAAGAUUUUUCUAAAUUAAAAACUUGAAUCAUACAUGUCAUGAAGCAUAGGCGAGUGGACAAGGGGAAGGUGUGGUUAUCAAAAUGCAGCUUCUCCUUUGGAAGAGUAGGGAUAGGGACAGGUCUGAUGGCGGUGCUAAAGAAGUUUGUUUGUUCAACAAUUACCUUAACACCAAAUUGAUCUUCGGUCUGGGUUGCAAUUGAAAUGCUGAAGCUCUGAGGCUUAUAAGCGAAUCCUUGGUAUCUUCCUCAUAAUCUUUGUCCUUGUAUAAGUGUUGCAGGUCGUUCAUGACAUACAGGCAAUUCAGAAUUUGUCGCUACUUGCUAACCAUUUAGUUUAGCACUACCCUUCUGCUUCUGCCACAACAUAAAAGGAUGGCAGCUCGGGUCAAUGCUACAACAAUUGCUGGAAAUGUUGAUGCACAAUAUUGAAGAUCUUGUUCACCAGCUAGUGAUUGAUACAGGAAUUAUUCAUGUUCUUGUGAAAAUUGUGAAGAAAAAGUGAGUAUUUAUCCACACUGACUAUUGUUCUUUAGCAAAGUGAGUAUUUAUUCCUAUUCUUGUGAAUGCAUGGAACUGGCUUAGUCCAGCUUGAAAAGAACUUUAAAUAAGUAAUGUCAACAAACUUGUAUGUUAGAAAGUACAAAAGAUUUGAAAUUUUUAAAUUCA